GGCGCAGAGUAAAGUAGCGCGCCAGGCUUAGACCCUGGCUCCCGUUCACGGGAUUGAGAGUUCGAGUCUCUCCGGCGCCA
rnacentral:tRNA from 1 species